rnacentral:lncRNA from 1 species
UUAGUAGUUAGGGGUUAGGGGUUAGGGGUUAAGAGUUAGUGAUUUAGGGUUUAAAGAUUUGAGGUCAGGUUAGGGUUUAAGGUUUAGAUUAAUUAGUAUUUUUUUAAUUCCUAUAUUAAUUAAGUUUUUAUAUAAUUGGAAAAGAGGGGUUAGGGGUUUAUGUUUUAUGAUUCAGGGUUUAGGAGAUAGGGAUUAAUGGUUUAGAUUAAUUGGUGUUUUUUAAUUUAUAUAUUAAAUAAUUU